ACAAGGAGCGGACCCGAAAAGUACGUCUCAGUUCGGAUUGGAGUCUGCAACUCGACUCCAUGAAGCUGGAUUCGCUAGUAAUCGCGCAUCAGCCAUGGCGCGGUGAAUACGUUCCCGGGCCUUGUACACACCGCCCGUCAAGCCAUGGAAGCCGGGGGUGCCUGAAGUGCGUGACCGCAAGGAGCGCCCUAAGGUAAAACCGGUGACUGGGGCUAAGUCGUAACAAGGUACC
rnacentral:rRNA from 1 species